GGAGAUUAGUAACGAGUGAUUGAGAUAACGAUUGUUACGAGUUAAGUGACAGGUGAUACUAGUGAAAUACGUCCGGAAGCGGUCUAGGGACUUGCUGGUAACGGAAACAGUAAGGGACUCGUUCGAAAUCAUAAAUAGCGAAGGCCAGGGAUCAGUACAACGGCGUUGGUAAUGAAGGCAACGAUUCUUGGAUGUCCGGAUACUGGUGGUUGACGCUACUGAAUCUGACAAAGGGGACAAUUGUAACCACGGCUUGGACCAUCCCAAAACCUCCGUUCGGAAUUUUUAUCAGGGACGGCGAUUUAGAGCAAAGGAGAGAACGGACAGUAGGGACUUGAUCCUUCUGCGUCACUAUGAGAUCCAAUGGAACCUCGCCGAUUUCAAGGAGGCGAAAGAAGGACCCGAUUAAUCGACGUACCCAGCGAGGGCGAAAACCUUAGAACGAUUUCUGGGGACCCCAGAGCUCAACAGACCGGAAAACCACGUUCCUGAAAAGGCGGCAUCAGGGAGAGUUUGCGAAAUUAGGAAGGGUAAACUGCCUAGAAUAUCGCGCCUCGAACCUAGGGUCAUUUCGCAACUGUUUUGUAGAGUAUUAUACAAAUUACGGAAUUCAAUCUGGGGAAUCGAAGGGAAUAAGCAUGGGAGCGGAUCAGACCCAACAACCGCCUACGGGUCAAACAAUCCGAAAUCCCUCGCGCGUGGUAGCUUGUACGAUUCUCUGGACCGAAAUUAUAAUCGAUUGAAGAUCUGUUUACAACCGCACGCGACUUUCUGUCUAUUACGCGAGGCUACUUUCCGUCGCAGGGAACGUCUCCACAAUCUUCCCGUCAAAUGCUGGACUUCUCGGUCUAUUCAGGCAAACGUCGGCCUUCUGGGACACUACAGAGUUCGUGCCGCGUAUCGUAGGUUUUCGAACAGCAUCGUCACCGAGCUUCCGAUCUUGCGCAAUCGUUCGGAAAGUUGAUUUUUGUCCCGGGCCUUCGACCUUUACAUCUGCAAGAUCUGGUGCCGGACGAUUUCCGAAUCUCGUACAACGGGCUCGAAAAAAGUUCGGCGUAACAGUAUGUACAAAAACUACUGUUAUAGAAUCAAAAAGAAAUAUUUAGAGCCUAGAGGAAACAAAACAGAAGCAUCUUCAUGAUUUUUAAAUAUCCUUUUUAACAGGUUUGGUGAAAUAUUUUAUAUAUCUUUUAAUAAUGUUUUUUUUUAUAUCCAGAAACUGUUUUCUACUUCUGGCAGCAAUUUAUAAUAUGUAUUACUUUUCCUCCUUAGUUUUUGUUAAUAUGUCAUUAUAUUCUUACAUGAGUUUAUCACCACGUUCAGCUGUGUCAUUUAUAAGUUUUAAUUCUCGUGCUCUUCGUAUAAAUCAGAAUCUUUUCUGAAAGCUCAGAGUGUUUGAAAAUUCUUGCAAAGAGUUUUGUUAAAUGUUGGAAAAUAAAAUAUUUUAUAACGCUGUGAAUCUAGAUUUCGUGAGCUUCGUGCUCUUUAUAUACAUAUACGUAUACUAUAGAAUGUUGUUAUUACUAUGUUGUAUAAAAUGUUAUUACUAUGCA